rnacentral:lncRNA from 1 species
AUGACAUAUGCUUUAUUCUUGUUAAGUAUUCUUUUAGUUAUGGGGUUUGUAGGUUUUUCUUCUAAACCUUCUCCUAUUUAUGGGGGCUUGGUGUUAAUUAUUAGUGGUGUAGUAGGUGGCAUUAUUGUUCUAAAUUAUGGUGGGGCUUAUAUGGGUCUAAUAGUCUUUUUGAUCUAUUUAGGGAGAAUGAUGGUUGUUUUUGGUUAUACUAUGGCGAUGGCUAUUGAGGAACACCCAGAGGCAUGAGGGUCAGGCAUUGAAGUUUUAGGGAGUGUCCUAGUGGGCUUAGUAAUGGAACUGGCAUUAGUUUGGUGGGCAGCAGAGUAUGAUGGAGUGGUGGUUGUAGCAAAUUUUAAUAACAUGGGAAGUUAAGUGAUUUUUGAGGGGAGGGGCCAGGGUUAAUUCAGGAGGAUUCUAUGGGGUGUGGGUGCUUUAUGUGAUUAUGGACUUUGACUGGUGGUGGUUACUGGUUGGACAUUGUUUGUUGGUGUUUAUAUUGUAACUGAAAUUGCUCAGGGCAAUAG